rnacentral:rRNA from 1 species
UACAGAGGGUGCGAGCGUUGUCCGGAAUCACUGGGCGUAAAGGGCGCGUAGGUGGCGCGACAAGUCAGUGGUGAAAGCUCGACGCUCAACGUCGAGUCGGCCACUGAUACUGUUGGGCUUGAGCACUGUAGAGGCUAAUGGAAUUCCGGGUGUAGCGGUGGAAUGCGUAGAGAUCCGGAAGAACACCGGUGGCGAAGGCGGUUAGCUGGGCAGUUGCUGACACUGAGGCGCGACGAGCGUGGGGAGCAAACAGG